UCGAAGGUAGCAUAAUCAGUAGUUUUUUAAUUGAAAACUUGUAUGAAUGGUUUAAUGAGAUAUUUUCUGUCUCAUAAAAAUUUUUUAAAAAUUAAUUUUUUAGUUAAAAAGCUAAAAUAAAAUUAAAAGACGAGAAGACCCUAUAGAGUUUUAUAUUAAUAAUUUAAUAAUUUAUUUAUAUUAUUUAAAAUUUUUAAUUUAUUAAUAUUUUGUUGGGGUGACAGUAAAAUUUUAAUAUCUUUUAUUAUUUUUAAACAAUUAUUAUUGGUUAAUUGAUCCAUUUUUAGUGAUUAUAAGAUUAAAUUACCUUAGGGAUAACAGCGUAAUUUUUUUGUAGAGUUCUUAUCGAUAAAAAUUUUUGC
rnacentral:rRNA from 1 species